UGCCAGACUCCUACGGGAGGCAGCAGUGGGGAAUAUUGGGCAAUGGGCGAAAGCCUGACCCAGCAAUGCCGCGUGAAUGAAGAAGGUCUUAGGAUUGUAAAAUUCUGUCCUAUGGGAAGAAACAAAUGACGGUACCAUAGGAGGAAGCCCCGGCUAACUACGUGCCAGCAGCCGCGGUAAUACGUAUGGAGCAAGCGUUAUCCGGAUUUACUGGGUGUAAAGGGAGCGUAGGCGGCCUGCCAAGUCUGAUGUGAAAUGCCGGGGCUCAACCCCGGGGCUGCAUUGGAAACUGACAGGCUGGAGUGUCGGAGAGGCAGGCGGAAUUCCUAGUGUAGCGGUGAAAUGCGUAGAUAUUAGGAGGAACACCAGUGGCGAAGGCGGCCUGCUGGACGAUGACUGACGCUGAGGCUCGAAAGCGUGGGGAGCAAACAGGAUUAGAUACCCUGGUACA
rnacentral:rRNA from 1 species